rnacentral:rRNA from 1 species
GGCGGACGGGUGAGUAACGCGUAAGAACUUGCCCUUUAGACUGGGAUAACAGAGGGAAACUUCUGAUAAUACUGGAUAAGUUAGUAUAUCGCAUGAUAUGCAAAUGAAAGCUACGGCACUAAAGGAGAGCUUUGCGUCCUAUUAGCUAGUUGGUAAGGUAAGAGCUUACCAAGGCGAUGAUAGGUAGCCGGCCUGAGAGGGUGGACGGCCACAAGGGGACUGAGAUACGGCCCUUACUCCUACGGGAGGCAGCAGNU